GUGCCAGCAGCCGCGGUAAGACGUAGGGUCCAAGCGUUGUCCGGAUUUACUGGGCGUAAAGAGCGCGUAGGCGGCUCGGUAAGUGUGAAGUGAAAUCUCUAGGGCUCAACCCAGAAACUGCUUUACAUACUGCCAAGCUUGAGUGAUGAAGAGGUUUGUGGAAUUCCUGGUGUAGCGGUGAAAUGCGUUGAUAUCAGGAGGAACACCCAUGGCGAAGGCAGCAAACUGGUCAUCAACUGACGCUGAGGCGCGAAAGCGUGGGUAGCAAACAGGAUUAGAUACCCUGGUAGUCC
rnacentral:rRNA from 1 species